UACGGAAGGCAGCAGGGGGAAUAUUGCACAAUGGGCGCAAGCCUGAUGCAGCCAUGCCGCGUGUAUGAAGAAGGCCUUCGGGUUGUAAAGUACUUUCAGUCGUGAGGAAGGUGUUAAGGUUAAUAACCUUAGCAAUUGACGUUAGCGACAGAAGAAGCACCGGCUAACUCCGUGCCAGCAGCCGCGGUAAUACGGAGAGGGCUAGCGUUAUUCGGAAUUAUUGGGCGUAAAGAGCGCGUAGGCUGAUUAGUAAGUUAAAAGUGAAAUCCCAAAGCUUAACUUUGGAAUUGCUUUUUAAAACUGCUAGUCUAGAGAUUGAAAGAGGAUAGAGGAAUUCCUAGUGUAGAGGUGAAAUUCGUAAAUAUUAGGAGAACACAGUGGCGAAGGCGUCUAUCUGGUUCAAAUCUGACGCUGAGGCGCGAAGGCGUGGGGAGCAAACGAGGGAUUAGACUACC
rnacentral:rRNA from 1 species